UCCUCUGCUUAUUGAAGAAGAAUUCUGAACUGCUAUGGUGCUGUAAACAAUUAUGCCAAACCACAGGCUCUGUCUCAGAUACGAAGACGACUCUUCCGCAUCUUACACACAAUGUGCUACUGUAUGGCUGAAGUGGACAUACAUAUAUUUACAGGAUGUGGACAAGGCCAUUUUGCUCGGAUUCCAUUUCAUCUGACUUCGUUUGAUACUCACAAUCAAGCUGAGGGGAGUGUGGUUCACGUCUUGGAGGUGUGUCCAAAAUUUGGAGUGUGGGGCCCGAACAUACUGU